GCCGGGCGCGGUGGCGCACGCCUGUAGUCCCAGCUACUCGGGAGGCUGAGACAGGAGGAUCGCUUGAGUCCAGGAGUUCUGGGCUGUAGUGCGCUAUGCUAAUCGGGUGUCCGCACUAAGUUCGGCAUCAAUAUGGUGACCUCCCGGGAGCGGGGGGGGGGGGGGGGGGGGGGGGAACCAGGUUGCCUAAGGAGUGGUGAACCGGCCCAGGUCGGAAACGGAGCAGGUCAAGAAAUACCAAGUUCAGCAAUAGUGGUGCACCUCUUUAAUCCCAACACUGAGGAGGCAGAGACGGGUGAAUCCUUAUGAAUUUGAGGUUAGCCUGGUCUACAGAGCUAGUUCUA
rfam:Mesocricetus auratus contig095499, whole genome shotgun sequence.